UUUGAUAGUUUCUACAAUUAUUAUCCGCCCGGGUACUACGAGCAUUAGCUUAAAACCCAAAGGACUUGGCGGUGCUUUAGAUCCACCUAGAGGAGCCUGUUCUAGAACCGAUAAUCCCCGUUAAACCUCACCCUCUCUUGUUCUUUCCGCCUAUAUACCGCCGUCGUCAGCUUACCCUAUGAAGGAACCACAGUAAGCAAAGCCAGCAAAGCUCAAAACGCCAGGUCGAGGUGUAGCAUAUGAGAGGGGAAGAAAUGGGCUACAUUCCCUGCUACAGAGAAUACGAACAAUGCAAUGAAACGUGCAUUAGAAGGAGGAUUUAGCAGUAAGCAGAAAAAUAGAGCG
rnacentral:rRNA from 1 species